rnacentral:rRNA from 1 species
UACGUAGGGGGCAAGCGUUGUCCGGAUUUAUUGGGCGUAAAGAGCGUGUAGGCGGCCUGAAAGGUCCGCUGUGAAAACUCGAGGCUCAACCUCGAGACGUCGGUUGAAACCAUCUGGCUAGAGUCCGGAAGAGGAGUGUGGAAUUCCCGGUGUAGCGGUGAAAUGCGCAGAUAUCGGGAAGAACACCCGUGGCGAAGGCGGCACGCUGGGACGGUACUGACGCUGAGACGCGAAAGCGUGGGGAGCGAACAGG